rnacentral:rRNA from 1 species
UACGUAGGGGGCUAGCGUUGUUCGGAAUUACUGGGCGUAAAGCGAACGUAGGCGGUUUUGUAAGUUAGAGGUGAAAGCCCGGAGCUCAACUUCGGAAUUGCCUUUAAGACUGCAUCACUUGAACGUAGGAGAGGUGAGUGGAAUUCCGAGUGUAGAGGUGAAAUUCGUAGAUAUUCGGAAGAACACCAGUGGCGAAGGCGGCUCACUGGACGACUGUUGACGCUGAGGUGCGAAAGCGUGGGGAGCAAACAGG